rnacentral:rRNA from 1 species
UACGUAGGGUGCGAGCGUUAAUCGGAAUUACUGGGCGUAAAGCGUGCGCAGGCGGUGAUGUAAGACAGUUGUGAAAUCCCCAGGCUCAACCUGGGAACUGCAUCUGUGACUGCAUCGCUGGAGUGCGGCAGAGGGGGAUGGAAUUCCGCGUGUAGCAGUGAAAUGCGUAGAUAUGCGGAGGAACACCGAUGGCGAAGGCAAUCCCCUGGGCCUGCACUGACGCUCAUGCACGAAAGCGUGGGGAGCAAACAGG